UAGUCUUUUUUAUGGACUGUUUUAACUAGGCCCUAUUCCCAACAUGGGGAUUAAACUCAAGACCUUGAGAUUUAGAGUCCCAUGCUCUACCAACUGAGCCAGUCAAUAUGCCCCUGUAUGGACAUUUCUCAAGACCAAUCCCCCUUUCCAUUCCUCUCAUAUUUCCUCAUUUGAUGACCCUGUUUUCCUUUAUAAUUUUCUCUGCCAUUUUUGCUAUUGACUGCCAGUCCAAUCUCUAGCUUUGACCUCUUUCUCAAGCCCUGCAUCUCCAAGUUACUGAGGGUCGUAUUCUCUUGCUAGGCACAGUAGGUACACAGAUGAGUGUGACAUAAUCCCCAUCCUUGAGGGGCUGAAAAUUUAAUGGGAGGACAAGCAGUGGGUAGGGGCUUCAUAAAAUGGUAUAGAGGACUAAGAUGGAGCAGCCACCUGUGCAGAGGGCUGCUGGGAGUCUUUGUAGAGGAGUAGACAUUUGAAUAGCUGUGGACCAGUAUUAACCAGGUUAAUAGAUAGGGAAGGGUCACGCCUGAAGAGGAUAUAUCCUGUAUACAUGUUCUAAAGACAGAGACUUUAUAAAUACACGUUCAGAGCAGGAAGAAAGAGGUAUCUUACUACUUCAGGAAGAUGGGGCUCAAAUCAAGGGAGAUUACAUUCUCACUUUCUCAAGUAUUAGCCUGGCCAUUAGAUUUGGAAUAUUGAUUUAGUUCUGAGAAAUACAUGUUGAGAGAGACAUUGACAAAUCAGAGUGACACUGGCCCAAAUGGUGAUGAAGAGUUUAAAAAUUGCAUAGAUCAUUUGAGACUCAGUUUACAUCAGCUGCUUCUGUGUAGUCUCCUUAACCACUUAAUCAGCUAAUGGCAGCCUCUUGAAAUUCUGUGCCACUGAUUAACUAUUAUAAGUCCUUUGGCAUGGGUUGUGUAAUUGAGCUAUGUUAAGUUUAGAUUCUUGACACCAUACUUAGCAGCUACGUGAACUUGGGCAAAUUCCUUAAUCUCUUUUUAAGUCUUCAUUUCCUCAUCUGUAAAAUGGAGUUAGUAAUAGCCCAUGCCUUGGCAUAUGCUGGCUUACAGUAGCUCUCCAUGAUCGGGAGCUGUAGUAGUGACGGUGAUGGAAGAUGACCAUCCUUAUUUAUACCAGUGGUUCUCAGCUAGGGAUGAUUUUACCUCCUCCAGGGAACAUUUGGAAUGUCUGACUGUCACAAGUAGUAUUGGGAGAGAAGGGUCUUUGGUCCUGGCAUCAAUCGGGUGGAGGCCAGGGACACUGCUAAACAUCCUGCAAUGUAAAGGACAGUCCCCAUCCACCGCAACAAAUAAUUGCGUAGCCCACCCUGUCAGUAGUGCCAAGGGUUGAGAAGCCCGGAUCUAUAUGUAAUGUCUUCCCUGUUCGAUUAUAUAACCUCCUCCAUGGCAGACUGUUUUGUGGAUUAUGGGUCAAGUUGAUUCAUUUUGCCUAAAGUACAUUAGAUUACAAUCAGUUUUUUAGAAGUAAUAUUAGUGUUUAGUAGAAGUAUGAUUCUAGGGGAAAAAAUUGCUUAUUAGCACCCAAUACAAACUGGACAAACUUUAGAGUUUUGGGUUUCCCUGCCACCUGGGAAUCUAUUACCCCAACAAGUGGAGUUUAAACAUUGUACUUAAUUAACAGGGUGGUAUCAUGGGUUAGACUAUUUCCUUUGUGAAAUCUUUUGAAUUACAUACUUGCAUACUUAGAAAUUCACUGUUUUUGUCACUUGUGUGUAACUGUUUCUCAUUUAUACCUUUCCUUUGUUUUACAGUUUUGUGGUAAUUCUAAUAAAAAACACUGAAAUAUUUUGUAAA